rnacentral:ribozyme from 1 species
GUGCCUUUCCAGGAGAUGUGGUUAAAUUGGAUGGGAAAUCUGUGGAGUGGGAAAAGCUUAGCGUGAUAGAUUCGAGCAGUUUCAAUCCUGGGACCGCU